rnacentral:lncRNA from 1 species
AGUGCUUUGGUAGCUAGCGAGGGCUUUGAGACGGCCGAGAGUUUGAGCGCCAAGGCUCUCUCUCCCCAGGGGACUCUGCAACCUGACUAGGUGCUCCUUCCCUGAGCAUAGUAACAUUCCAGGGAGCUGCCCGGGGAAGCUUAACGCUCGAUGCGGCCAAAGAGAUGUCAUGAUUUUGAGGGGAGCUUUUUCUGCUAUGGAUAUGAGACCGUGCUUGGAAGAAAUGAUUUAUUGCAAAUUUACUAUGAUGGACAAUCUGUCUUUCAGGGUGGUAGGAAUGUAUCAUGGUGGGAGAGUCAUGGCAGCAGGCAGCUGGAACAGGACACUAAGUAAGAACACCUUCAACUACAAGCAGAAGUCAAGGAGAACUGAAAGUGGGUCCCUGAAGUCAGCUCUGGAAAACUGAGAAGAGUGCUGCGUGCAGAAUGCUUCGCUGGAUGUUUUUUUCCUCUAUUCUCACAGACAACUGGAACCUUGAGAGCCAAGGGAGAUUGUGGAGAGGAUGUGAGCAGAUGGCCGCUGAGGAUAGCUGACCGGGUGGGUGGGCUGGAACCUAGGCCAGGACCUGCCACCUGAGGAUUGUGCCUGCGAUGUCCAUAUGAUUGUGAACAGCUAAACAGGGAGCUCUGCUCUGUUGAAAAUCAUAAAGUUGAAAAUGAAAAGAGAUAAAACCUUAAGCACAGAAGAAUAUUUUGUCUUUGGUGAAAAGAACAACUUAAGAUUAAUUUUAUUUUUAUGCUGUAUAUGCGUGUGGGUAUGUGCAUGCAAAUUUGGGUGACUCCAAAGGUCAGAGCAUCAAAUCACUUGGAGCUGGGAUUAUAGGCAAAUGAAAGCUGCCAAGCAUAGGAAUCUAACGAAUGUCCUCUGUAUGAGCAGAGAGUACUCCUUACUGCAGAGCCAUGUUUCCAGCUUAAGGAGGGCUUUUAGAAAGAAGAUUGAUAGAGAAUACAUACUUAAUAGUUUGAUGUACUAAAAAGGUUAAUUUUUAUUCACUAUAGACACUAGAAAUAAUAUUUACAAUUUAUAUAAUGCAUGUGAUUAUAGAACUAGAAGUAACAAUAUUAAAUAUAAAUAAAUUAUUGUAAGUCAGAUAAGAGAGAUGGAAACCCCAGUAGGAAAAACCCAUUAAAGUAACUAAAAUGUGGACAAA